UAGACCCGAAACCAGGUGACCUAUCCAUGUCCAGGUUGAAGGUGCGGUAAAACGCACUGGAGGACCGAACCCGUGUAAGUUGAAAAUUGCUGGGAUGAGGUGUGGAUAGCGGUGAAAUUCCAAACGAACUUGGAGAUAGCUGGUUCUCUCCGAAAUAGCUUUAGGGCUAGCCUCGGAUUAAGGAUCAUGGAGGUAGAGCACUAUUUGGACUAGGGGCCCGUCUUGGGUUACUGAAUUCAGAUAAACUCCGAAUGCCAUUGAUUCAUGUCCGGGAGUCAGACGAUGAGUGAUAAGAUCCACCGUCGAAAGGGGAACAGCCCAGACCAUCAGUUAAGGUCCCUAAAUGUAUGCUAAGUGGAAAAGGAUGUGGAGUUGCAUAGACAACUAGGAUGUUGGCUCAGAAGCAGCCACCAUUUAAAGAGUGCGUAAUAGCUCACUAGUCGAGUGAUCCUGCGCCGAAAAUGUACCGGGGCUAAGCAUACUACCGAAACCAUGGAUGCGACCAUUAGGUCGCGUGAUAGGAGAGCGUUCUAAGGGCGGUGAAGCAAGAUCGUGAGGACUUGUGGAGCGCUUAGAAGUGAGAAUGCCGGUAUGAGUAGCGAAAGAUAGGUGAGAAUCCUAUCCACCGAAUGACUAAGGUUUCCUGGGGAAGGCUCGUCCUCCCAGGGUUAGUCGGGACCUAAGUCGAGGCCGAGAGGCGUAGACGAUGGAUAACAGGUUGAGAUUCCUGUACUAGUUAAGUGCGUUUGAGCAAUGGAGGGACGCAGGAGGCUAAGAUGUGCAUUCUGUUGGAUUAGAAUGUCCAAGCAGUAAGUCUUGUGGAGAGUCAAAUGCUUUUCACUUUAAGGACAAGCUGUGAUGGGGAGCGAAAUUUAGUAGCGAAGCGUCUGAUGUCACACUGCCGAGAAAAGCUUCUAGUGAGUACUUAACUACCCGUACCGCAAACCGACACAGGUAGUCGAGGAGAGAAUCCUAAGGUGAGCGAGUGAACUCUCGUUAAGGAACUCGGCAAAAUGACCCCGUAACUUCGGGAGAAGGGGUGCUGAUCGCAAGAUCAGCCGCAGUGAAUAGGCCCAGGCGACUGUUUAUCAAAAACACAGGUCUCUGCAAAAUCGUAAGAUGACGUAUAGGGGCUGACGCCUGCCCGGUGCUGGAAGGUUAAAAGGAUGGGUUAGCUUCGGCGAAGCUCAGAAUUGAAGCCCCAGUAAACGGCGGCCGUAACUAUAACGGUCCUAAGGUAGCGAAAUUCCUUGUCGGGUAAGUUCCGACCCGCACGAAAGGCGUAACGAUCUGGGCACUGUCUCAACGAGAGACUCGGUGAAAUUAUAUUGUCCGUGAAGAUGCGGACUACCCGCGACAGGACGGAAAGACCCCAUGGAGCUUUACUGUAGCUUGAUAUUGAGUGUUUGUACAGCUUGUACAGGAUAGGUAGGAGCCAUAGAAACCGGAACGCUAGUUUCGGUGGAGGCGUUGGUGGGAUACUACCCUCGCUGUAUGACCACUCUAACCCGCACCACUAAUCGUGGUGGGAGACAGUGUCAGGUGGGCAGUUUGACUGGGGCGGUCGCCUCCUAAAAAGUAACGGAGGCGCCCAAAGGUUCCCUCAGAAUGGUUGGAAAUCAUUCGCAGAGUGUAAAGGCACAAGGGAGCUUGACUGCGAGACAGACAGGUCGAGCAGGGACGAAAGUCGGGCUUAGUGAUCCGGUGGUACCGUAUGGAAGGGCCAUCGCUCAACGGAUAAAAGCUACCCUGGGGAUAACAGGCUUAUCUCCCCCAAGAGUCCACAUCGACGGGGAGGUUUGGCACCUCGAUGUCGGCUCAUCGCAUCCUGGGGCUGUAGUCGGUCCCAAGGGUUGGGCUGUUCGCCCAUUAAAGCGGUACGCGAGCUGGGUUCAGAACGUCGUGAGACAGUUCGGUCCCUAUCCGUCGCGGGCGUAGGAAAUUUGAGAGGACCUGUCCUUAGUACGAGAGGACCGGGAUGGACAUACCUCUGGUGUACCAGUUGUGCCGCCAGGCGCAUCGCUGGGUAGCUACGUAUGGAUGUGAUAAACGCUGAAAGCAUCUAAGUGUGAAACACACCUCGAGAUGAGAUUUCCCAUUCCUUUAUGGAAGUAAGACCCCUGAAAGAUGAUCAGGUAGAUAGGUUAGAAGUGGCAGUGCGGUGACGCAUGAAGCGGACUAAUACUAAUCGGUCGAGGACUUAACCAA
rnacentral:rRNA from 1 species